rnacentral:rRNA from 1 species
CGAUUCCCUGAGUAGUGGCGAGCGAAAAGGGAACAGCCCAGCGCACAAUCUCCCGGUCUACCAAGGCCGCGGCGAAAUUUUGCGUAUAAGGAAAGGUCGUUUACAGCCUCGUGCACCCGUCUGAUGCGCCUAACCGUGAUCUGAAAUGUUCACGCACGUUGGGUGCUUUAUCUUUCGGGGUAAACGCUCAAUACACGGUUCCAUGGAGGGUGCAAGCCCCGUAUGGCCGCGUGAGUGUGCACUAAGGCUAGGCCUCUUUUCCUUGAGAGUCGCGUUGUUUGAACAUACAGCGCUAAGUAGGAGGUAAACUCCUCCUAAGGCUAAAUACGUCCACAGCACCGAUAGAAAACAAGUACCGCGAGGGAAAGUUGAAAAGCACUUUGGAGAAAGGGUGACAAGACCGUGAGACCGUCCAGGGCAAAAGCCGGUGUCAAUUAUCCUAGUCGCGCUGGGACAUGGCUUCAUCGCCAUAGACGAGAGCAUGUCUCUGGUCAUACGAGUUUAAACCCGCAAGGGCUCGUAGGACCGAUUCGUAAUUAGCUCUCGUCUUUCAGUCCAUCAACAGCCCGCCGUGACUCUUGUGAGGUCAUUCGCGGUAGCGGAAGCUUCUGCUCGGUACAUUCGUGAAGGGUGUAGGCUAACGGGGGUCGUGUUAUUGUGGUAUCCCAAGUAGCGCAAGCGAAAGGCACCGCAGUACGCGUCGGUACAUAUUGCCUCCAAAGUCAAAGCCUGGGUGUAUUCGGGUGUUGUGUUAUGCUGCCAAUGCGUCUCUGAUCCUCUGCGAGAAGUUAUCGACGCUCCGUUUUCUCCUCCAUUCGUCACCAAGCUGUAACAAGCUGAAGCGGCUGUGUGGCUCUCGAGUUGAUGGUAGUAUCGGCGGUAGUCCUAGGUGACCCCGGUCACGUCUCGAAACACGGGCCAAGGAGCAUAGCGUAAAGCCAAGUCCAAGAGUUUCUCGAAACUUCGUGGCGCUAGUGAAAGCGAUCGAACGGCUACUUUGCGUAACCGUUAGUGUGUGAGCUGAGAGUUCCGGGCAACCGAGAUUCGAAGCUUGCUCCGAUCUAGUCAAGGUUGAUCCUCUAGUUCUUAACGAACGAAAAGGCGCAAACCUCAGGCCCAUUCACCAGUCAACUUCGGUUGGCCGAAAGGGCACUGCCUAGGCUUUGAGCUAUGACCCGAAAGAUAGUGAACUAUGCUUGGCGAAGACGAAGCCCCAGGAAACUGUGGUGGAAGUCUGUAGCCGUUUUGACGUGCAAAUCAAUGGUGUCAGCUGAGCAUAGGGGCGAAAGACCAAUCGAACUAUCUAGUAGCUGGUUCCAUUCGAAGUUUCUCUCAGGAUAGCUUGCGUGACAUUAACGCUAUGAGUCUGGACUCUUCGGUACACGAAAGCGUGCUGGUAGUCCGUCCCACUUUGUCUGCAGUUGUUGAGAGUUGACGUAGCCAAGAACUUUGUCAUCUCACUCUCUAGUCGCCAGGGUAGCGUAUCAUUUGACCGUGAGCAGUUACGUCUGGUAAAGAGAAUGAGUAGAGUUAGCUCGUUGCUUUCUAUAGCAACAGCAGCGGGGCGUCCUACGCCUCGCACUAUUAUCAAACUUUAAAUGGGCGAGGUACCCGGUAUUUUCUUAAUUGCUUGAUACCGGGGCGAAACACGUCUUGGCUUUACCGUCGAGGCGAAGGUGAAUGCGUGCGCGCAAAGUGGGUCCUUUCUGGUAAGCAGAACUGAUAAUGAGGGAUGAACCUAACGCAUGUGCUAAGGGGCCAAAGAGACAGCUAUUUCUCGAAACCAUUGGAAAGGUGUUGCUUGCUGAAGACAGCAGGACGGUGGUCAUGGAAGUCGAUAUCCGCUAAGGAGUGUGUAACUACUCAUCCUGCCGAAGCGAGUAACCCUGAAAAUGGAUGGCUCUAUAGCUCUCUCCCGAUGCACGGCCGUCAGUAGCACUUGAGUCACCUCGUGUCUCUACGCUCUGACGAGUAGAAUGGUUGUGCUGCAUUGCGUUGACGGCUAUCGCGUGAGCGUGGUCUGAGCGUGCAGCAGUACAGAUCUUGGUGGUAGUAGCAAGUACUCUGGUGAAUAACCUUGAGCUGUGAGGUUGAUAAGGGUUCCAUGUCAACAGUGUUUGUACAUGGGUAAGUCGGUCCUAAGCCCCCAUUAUUCUUAAUGGUGAUUGCGAUCGCCCGAGAGUUAUGGUGUCUGUAGUGGAGUCAGAGUGGGAGCCCGCGCUCUCUCUUUGGAUCUGCGUCGUGUCUGUCGCAUACCUUUUCUGCAGUGAAACGGGAGUAAGGGGUGUUGUUGUACUCAGGGAGAGGUGAAUGUGUGUGUGAACGGUAGCGUUUUUCUCUUUGAGAAGUGGCCGCUGUGACCUAGUAACACACAUCGUUCGUAAUCUCACUGAAAUACGAUGCUCUCGAUGCUCUCUUAAUAGUGCAUGGGGUUUGCGCGUGAUACGUUAAGACACUACACUUUCGCGUCGCUCGGCGAAAGGGAAUUGCGGACUCAGUUCGUAAACCACACCUGGUACCCUGAGACGGUUCACCGUUUCACGGACCUGGCAAGAGCUUGCCAGGCCAGUCGCUGUCAUAAGUAGCUCGGCGGGGAGAUUUCUUCUCUCUGUGAUAUAGAUACGUGUCCUGAAAGCACCUCGAGUGGCGGAAGGUCAACGCUAUCUAGCAGAGUACUCUACUCCCUCGAGUAGAUAACGAUGCUGCUUGUGAUCCGUGAAAAGGUGGUCGAGGGGAAAGUAUGGGACAAUAAGCACCCACAAUGCUACAAAAGCAAACGAGAACAAGACUGUGUGUGUGUGUAAGCCCGCGCUUACUCCCACACGACUUGUGUUUUUGUGCGCCGCGUAUCUGUGUUGUGUUAUAUGUCCUGACACUUUACUCGAGUGUUAGCCAGGGCGUGGGCGUACCCAUAUCCGCAUCCGGU